GCAGUUGACACAGUACAGUGGUGUAGUGGUUAGCACUCUCGCCUCCCAGACAGGUGCCUCGGGUUCAACUCCACCCAGUGGUGCCACUGUGUUAGGUGGUGUAGGCUAAGCCUGCAUGGGGUUCACUCCAUAUUUGUAAAAGUAAUGGAAAAAACUUUUUUUAAACUUCCAAGUCUAAAAAAAAUGCCAAAAUAUUUUGCAAAAAGUAAUGAAAUUCUAUCUUUAGUCAUAUGAAGGUGUACGAUGGUGAGAAAACCUACUUUUGAAUAAAAAUCCGAAUUUUUUCUAAAUUGGAUUCAUAAGACAUUCUACCGGCAGCAGUUGACACGGUACAGUGGUGUAGUGGUUAGCACUCUCGCCUCCCAGACAGAUGCCUCGGGUUCAACUCCACCCAGUGGUGCCUCUGUGUUAGAUGGUGUAGGCUAAGCCUGAAUGGGAUUCAUUCCAUACUUGUAAAAGUAAUGGAAAAAAGUUUUUUAAACCUUCCGCAUCUGAAAAGAAUGCCAAAAUAUUUUGCGAAAUGUCAUGAAAUUCUAUCUUUAGUCAUAUGAAGGGGGACAAUGGUGAGAAAACGUACUUUUGAAUAAAAAUCUGAAUUUUUUCUAAAUUGGAGUAAUUAGACAUUCUAAUGGCUGCAGUUGACACAGUACAGUGGUGUAGUGGUUAGCACUCUCGCCUCCCAGAGAGAUGCCUCGGGUUCAACUCCACCCAGUGGAGCCUCUGUGUUAGGUGGUGUAGGGUAAGCGACCUGGGGGUUCGCUCCAUACUUGUAAAAGUAAAGGAAACAUUUUUUUAUAAAUUCCGCAUCUGAAAAGAAUCCCCAAAUAUUUUGCAAAAUGUCGUGAAGUUGUAUCUUUAGUCAUAUGAACGGGGGACGUCGGUAGAAAAACGUACUUUUGAAUAAAAUUCUAAAUUUUUCUAAAUUGGAGUAAUUAGACAUUCUACCGGCAGCAGUUGACACGGUACAGUGGUGUAGUGGUUAGCACUCUCGCCUCCCAGAGAGAUGCCUCGGGUUCAACUCCACCCAGUUGUCCCUCUGUGUUAGGUGGUGUAGGCUAAGCCUGCAUGGGAUUAAUUCCAUACUUGUAAAAGUAAUUAAAAAAGUUUUUUUAAAACUUCCGCAUCUGAAAAGAAUGCCAAAAUAUUUUGCAAAAUGUCAUGAAAUUCUAUCUUUAGUCAUAUGAAGGGGGACAAUGGAGAGAAAACGUACUUUUGAAUAAAAAUCUGAAUUUUU
ensembl:lncRNA